rnacentral:rRNA from 1 species
UUAUUACAAGAACUAUUGCUUUGGCUUGGCCUUCGGGUUGGGCCAGAGACUUGAAUAAACUUCAAUUUUUUAUUGAAUUGUUUUUUAAAUUAUUGUCAAUUUGUUUGAUUAAAUUCAAAAUAAUCUUCAAAACUUUCAACAACGGAUCUCUUGGUUCUCGCAUCGAUGAAGAACGCAGCGAAAUGCGAUAAGUAAUAUGAAUUGCAGAUUUUCGUGAAUCAUCGAAUCUUUGAACGCACAUUGCGCCCUUUGGUAUUCCAAGGGGCAUGCCUGUUUGAGCGUCAUUUCUCUCUCAAACCUUUGGGUUUGGUAUUGAGUGAUACUCUUAGUCAGACUAGGCGUUUGCUUGAAAUGUAUCGGCAUGAGUGCGCUAGAUAGUGCUUUCUGAUUAUUCAAUGUAUUAGGUUUAUCCAACUCGUUGAAGGAUCAGGUGUAAAUUUCUGGUGGCAAUUGCUCGGGCCUUACAACGACAAACAAGUUUGACCUCAAAUCAGGUAAGAAUACCCGCUGAACUUAAGCAUAUCACAAGCCGGA